CCUACGGGUGGCAGCAGUAGGGAAUCUUUCACAAUGGGCGAAAGCCUGAUGGAGCAACGCCGCGUGCAGGAUGAAGGCCUUCGGGUUGUACACUGCUUUUCUCAGGGACGAAGCAAGUGACGGUACCUGAGGAAUAAACCACGGCUAACUACGUGCCAGCAGCCGCGGUAAUACGUAGGUGGCAAGCGUUAUCCGGAUUUACUGGGUGUAAAGGGCGUGUAGGCGGGAAAGCAAGUCAGAUGUGAAAACCAUGGGCUCAACCUGUGGCCUGCAUUUGAAACUGUUUUUCUUGAGUACUGGAGAGGCAGACGGAAUUCCUAGUGUAGCGGUGAAAGGCGUAGAUAUUAGGAGGAACACCAGUGGCGAAGGCGGUCUGCUGGACAGCAACUGACGCUGAGGCGCGAAAGCGUGGGGAGCAAACAGGAUUAGAUACCCUUGUAGUC
rnacentral:rRNA from 1 species